AUGUGGCAAACGCGGUGCUGGACGGAUAUGCUUCCCGCUAAAGCACCAACAGUAGCCAAGAAGAUUGAAGAAUCCAAUGAAAGUUCUGAUUCUGAAAGCUCUGACUCUGAGAAGCCAGCUACUGAAGUGAAGAAUUAUGCGGUUGCUACUACACAAAAGAAAAACCAGGAAUUGGAUGGCUCUGAUAGUGAUUCUGAUGAUUCAUCAGAUGAGUCCAAACUAGAAAACUGUUUGCAGGAUAUGGCCACUAAAAAACCAGUAGCGAAGAAAGUGUUAGAAUCCAGUGAAAGUUCUGAUUCUGACUCUGAGGAGGACACCACUGCUAAACCAGUUCAAUCUUCCAAGGCUAUUGCUGUUAAAAAGAAUAAAGAAUCUAGUGAUAGCUCAGAUUUUGACUCAGAUUCAGAUUCCGAAGAAGUUCUCUAUUGUACUUGUUUACUCUUGGAUAUACCACUGCUAAAACAGUUAAUGCAAAGAAAUUAG
rnacentral:rRNA from 1 species